rnacentral:misc_RNA from 1 species
AUGAGUGGUGUUUGGUUUGUAACGGAUGGUUGGAUGUCUGCUUGCGCAGCAACUUCCAUGCGUUCUAACCUAUUCAGUGUUGCUACAAGGCAGUUAUGCCUUGAACAUAAGUGGGUUCCUGUGUUGCAUACCUAAUCGAUGGCAUUGUGUUGCUUGAACAAAGUUACCUUUUGUGAAGCGUCGCUUGCGGCGCCAAUGAACCUUGAAGCUGUCUUUAUGGUCCAUCCUGUUGUUGCGGACGCAUCGAUGGGAUGGCCCUAUGAAGUGUUGCUUGGUCUCUUGGAUAUGGAACCUGGUGUGGGCACAUGGUCAUUUAUGAUCAUGUCUUUUUGCCCUAUAAGAGCUUUUCGCUUCUCUAGACGACCGCCUUUCUUGCAUUGACUUGUUGGUGCAAGGUAGGCUUUGUCGAAGAGGAAUGCUACCUGGUUGAUCCUGCCAGUAGUCAUAUGCUUGUCUCAAAGAUUAAGCCAUGCAUGUGUAAGU